rnacentral:ribozyme from 1 species
UCUCGACCGAGCGAGUCAAAACAGGUCUUAGGCUCGGUGCGUCACCGCUCACCACGAGCGGUGGGUGACU